UACUCUCACACUCCCAAUUCUUUGAACUGGGAGCGGUGGACUUGGGUGUUGCCGCUUGACUGUGGCUCACCUCAAAUGCGUUAGUGCACCUCUUGGUUGGACAUAGUACGGCGUGAUAAGUGUCUUCGCCGGCACCUCACUUUGAGGGUGGCUGAUCGGGAGCUCUGUGCUUCAAACUGUCUUCGGACAAUAACUGACAAC
rnacentral:misc_RNA from 1 species